GACCUGGCUCAGGAUGAACGCUAGCUACAGGCUUAACACAUGCAAGUCGAGGGGCAGCAUGGUCUUAGCUUGCUAAGACCGAUGGCGACCGGCGCACGGGUGAGUAACGCGUAUCCAACCUGCCUUACACUCUUGGACAGCCUUCUGAAAGGGAGAUUAAUACAAGAUGUUAUCAUGAGUAAGCAUUUUCGCAUGAUUAAAGGUUUACCGGUGUAAGAUGGGGAUGCGUUCCAUUAG
rnacentral:rRNA from 1 species